AACUCAUAGGAUCGUGUCACGUGU
rnacentral:siRNA from 1 species